GGAGAGGUGGCCGAGUGGUUAAAGGCGUCAGACUGUAAAUCUGAUCACGCAAGUGUACAUUGGUUCAAAUCCAAUCCUCUCCACCA
rnacentral:tRNA from 1 species